rnacentral:rRNA from 1 species
CGUCCCAUUAGUUAGUUGGUGAGGUAACGGCUCACCAAGACCGCGAUGGGUAGCCGGCCUGAGAGGGUGAACGGCCACACUGGAACUGAGACACGGUCCAGACUCCUACGGGAGGCAGCAGUGGGGAAUAUUGCACAAUGGAGGAAACUCUGAUGCAGCGACGCCGCGUGAAUGAUGAAGGCCUUCGGGUCGUAAAAUUCUGUCCUAGGGGAAGAUAAUGACGGUACCCUAGGAGGAAGCCCCGGCUAACUACGUGCCAGCAGCCGCGGUAAUACGUAGGGGGCGAGCGUUGUCCGGAAUUAUUGGGCGUAAAGAGUUCGUAGGCGGUUUUUUAAGUCAGAUGUGAAAGGCUACGGCUCAACCGUGGUAAGCAUUUGAAACUGAAAGACUUGAGUUAAGGAGAGGAAAGUGGAAUUCCUAGUGUAGCGGUGAAAUGCGUAGAUAUUAGGAGGAAUACCAGUGGCGAAGGCGACUUUCUGGACUUAUACUGACGCUGAGGAACGAAAGCGUGGGGAGCAAACAGGAUUAGAUACCCUGGUAGUCCACGCCGUAAACGAUGAGUGCUAGGUGUUGGGGGUCAAACCUCGGUGCCGCAGCUAACGCAUUAAGCACUCCGC